UACGUAGGGUCCAAGCGUUGUCCGGAUUUAUUGGGCGUAAAGAGCUCGUAGGCGGCUCAGUAAGUCGGAUGUGAAAACUCGGGGCUCAACCCCGAGACGCCAUCCGAUACUGCUGUGGCUUGAGUCUGGUAGGGGAACACGGAAUUCCUGGUGUAGCGGUGGAAUGCGCAGAUAUCAGGAGGAACACCGAUGGCGAAGGCAGGUCACUGGGCCGCAACUGACGCUGAGGAGCGAAAGCAUGGGGAGCGAACAGG
rnacentral:rRNA from 1 species